GCGCUGGUAGCUCAGUGGUUAAGACGUUGGGCUAUUAAGCUGAAGGUUGUGAGUUCAAAUCCCAGCACUGCC